GACUACUCGCAGCUAUCGACCUACCCUGUACGCGCAUGCGCGGAAUACGAAACCUUCCGAGGAACACUCGGAAUACGUCAUCAUACUCUAUUUCUCCAAUAUGGCGAAAGUAAGCACGACAGCUCCGCUUCGGCGUGUUGUUUUUGUUUUGUUUGCAAUCCAAAUCAGUGCUGGAAUGAUGAAUGGGGAUGCUCCCAGUGUUGAUUCAGUGCAGCCUGGAUUUAACAUCCAACCUGUUCCGGGAAGUAAUUUGCUGCAUCCUGAAUUGGCAUAUUAAUUUUUGAAAUCAGAUGAUGACAAGAAGAAGCUCAAUAAGAAUAUUCAAGAUAUAAAAAUGGAGGUUUGACUAUCCAAUUACUGAAAAAUACAGAGGACCAUCAGUUACACAACAAUACACCUGUAUGUUUGUGUAUCCAGUGCCGGGAACAUGGACCCUGUCUUUGGAGGCACCAUAAUUUAGAAUUUUGCACUGCAUAAUUUCUGCAGUUUAUGAAAAAAACCCAAAUAAAGCCGAAAAGAAGUAAACAUAAUGAAAAAUAAAUCUUUAGUUAAUGAUAAAUAAAAAUACCUUCGAUGAAAUUGAUAUCUGUGUAGCAAAAAUGACAAGGUUUUUUUUCCAAAAAAGGGAAUAUGGGAAAUUUAAGGGAGGAAGUGUUUCAAAAUAAAGUAAAAACUUUGUAUUAUUUCACAUACAAAAAGAUUAAAUUAAUGUAUAACAUGUUUAAAAUAAUACAUUUUUAAAAAGAGAACAAUCUUUCUAUUUCAGAAUUCAAAAAUUGAUGAAUGCACAUAUAAUUUUUUGUUGAAUGGAACAUUAAAUGCUUACAGAAUGAUGCAAAAAUUUGUUGUUUCCGGGACACUUUUUAUUUUAUACUUAAUAAACGUAUGUGCAAUUCACUUAAGAGCUUUUUUAAGAAUCAAAUAUGCAUACUAGAUCUAUUUGAAAUGUUAUACAUGUGUAUCUAAAAAUAGUCUAAAAACAUUCUUAAUCAAUCAUCCCAAAAAUAUUUCUUGUAUUAUUAAUCAUCCUUCAAUUCGAAAGUUUUACAAAUUUUACUUUUUUUUGUAAAUUUUAGAGUAAAUCCCUUAAGAUUGUUAAAAUUUAAUGCUAUAUAAACCAGUUGGGCAUUAAAUUUUAAUAAUUAAUGGCAUCCAUUUCUUUUUAUGAUAAAAAUAUCCUCUCAUGGGAUUAGGAAGCUUGAGGUAAUGCAGUAAGUAUAUAUGACCUUGUCAGUAUGUUUACAUUUAUUAGUUUGUUAUGGUAAAACUAAAUAUAAAUGUUUCAGAACAAAAGAA